GUGGAUACGUUCUGAAAGGUUCACACAGAAUGCCUCCUCGCCUUUGCUGAAUCUGACUUCACCGCUGAAUGCUAAUAUUCUGAACUAUAUACCAAAAAUAAAUAACCCCUGCCGCCAUUCAAUUGUUAUUUUCACCUCCAGUUUUAUAUAUAUAUAUAAACAGCUCCCUCUCCUUCACCUCGUUCUCUUCUCAUCUUCCCCACCAAAAACCAUCGGGUUUUGAUGUUAAAACAGCCACCACAUUAGUUGCCAUCCAUGACUGAACUCCACAGGCGGCCAGCCAC
rnacentral:lncRNA from 1 species